rnacentral:tRNA from 1 species
GGUAGCAUGGCUGAGAGGCCGAAAGCAACGGCUUGCUAAGCCGUAGAGUGGAAACGCUCCGCGCGUUCGAAUCGCGCUGCUACCGCCA